GGUAACGUGUACAGUAAGAGUAGGACAGCAAGGUUUUAUUGGUAACGUGUACAGUAAGAGUAGGACAGCAAGGUUUUAUUGGUAACGUGUACAGUAAGAGUAGGACAACAAGGUUUUAUUGGUAACGUGUACAGUAAGAGUAGGACAACAAGGUUUUAUUGGUAACAUGUACAGUAAGACACAUCACUAUACACAAUAGAUGCUGCUGAAGGACAAGCAGAUUUUGUGGAUGAGAUAUGUACAUAGUAGAUGACACAUGUGCACAACAUAUAAGUUGAAGCUGGACAAGCAGGUUUUGUUGUCGAAUCAAUCAUCAGCGCAGAUCUGUUUGUUGU